GGACGGGUGAGUAGUGUCUGGGAAACUGCCUGAUGGAGGGGGAGUAACUACUGGAAACGGUAGCUAAUACCGCAUAAUGUCGCAAGACCAAAGAGGGGGACCGUUCGGGCCUCUUGCCAUCGGAUGUGCCCAGAUGGGAUUAGCUUGUUGGUGGGGUAACGGCUCACCAAGGCGACGAUCCCUAGCUGGUCUGAGAGGAUGACCAGCCACACUGGAACUGAGACACGGCCCAGACUCCUACGGGAGGCAGCAUG
rnacentral:rRNA from 1 species